UUCUUUAGAGCCUGUAAUAUCAGUAGCACGUUUCAAAGACUUUCAAAGGCUUUCUUUCUUUUUGAAUAUUGUCUAUAAAUGACAUAUAGGUGGGGAGAGAAUCCUUGGAUCGUGACCCUUUCUUCAGAACUCUAUAUUCUACUCUCUGACUCUGACCUUGAAAGCCACCACUUGGACCAUCUUGUCCUCUCUGCGUCUUUGGGCUCCUGUUAGUGCUCGUGCGCAUGUGCAGGCGGUGAUGGUGGGAAAUCACACCUUUCUCUCAGGAGUUCUCACUGUGACGUCAUUACUCUAGAUAUCCUGGAAGAAGUUCCAGGUUGGAAAGCUGAUCAGUCCUGCAAUCAAAAAUCGGGCAGAAGAAUUUUCAGAUAUACUUCUUUCUUCAGAGAAAGGACUCAGAGAAUUCAGUCGUAAAGGAGGGGGUUCUGAACCUAGAAACCUUCUUUCUUUCUCUAUGAUGUGUUUUAGGUUUUGAGCGUGGCUAUGACUUCUCAGAGUUCCUUGCUCUUUGUGUGUCAUUCACACCAGGCAGGGACGCUGGGGAGGGAAUCUAAGUCCAAACCACAUGGUAGUCUAAGAAUGGAACCUAGACUAAAAUAGAGUCACACUCAGAGGUCUCAAGAUGGUAAAAGGAUAUUUCAUAUCUAACAGUGAGGUAAAAAGAACAUUGGGAGAUAAUCUCAAAACACUGAGAGUAUGAGUGAGGCAUUUCCUCAAAAAAUUAAAAAUAUAAUUACCAUAUGGUCCAGCAUUCCCACUUCCUAAAGAAUUAAAAGAGAAUUUUAAUCUCAAAGAGAUCUUUGCACUCUCCCGUUCAUAGCAGCAUUAUUCACCACAGAUGGGAUGCAGGAACAGCCCACACGGCCAUCGAUGUAUGAAUGGAGAAACAGAAUGCGGCACAUGCAGACACUGGAAUACUAUCCAACCUGAGAAAGGGAGGAAAUGUGCCGCGUACUAUAUCAUGGAUGAACCUCGAGGACAUUAGGGAAAAUUGAUGAGGGAUCUGGAAUAUAAGACAAGUGAGUAUUUGCAGGGGAUAGUGGCUGAAGUUAGCAGCUUUCCUGUGAAGGUCCAUUACUCAAGGUCAGCAAUUCUGUUUUAAAAAGGAAGGUCUUUGUGUAACUAAUAAACCUUUCCCCAGAUUUGCCCAGCUGUAGUGAUCCCAGUUCUUAUCUUUUUUUCCUCAUCAGUCUCAUCGCACUGCCUGAGGCCUUGAAUUUUCUGUGUUCUUUACACUCUCUAGAUAUGGUUGCUAAUAGUCUGAACACAAGGUCAAAAGCAGUCUUUGUCCUGGCCCCCUGAGGAGUCUCCCACCAUUGUUGUGGAGGCCCCAGAACCUAUGGGACAAAUCUCAUUUGCUAUCAUUUGUGAGGCCACACCUUUCUCUCCUUGUCCCCACAGCGAGGAUCAUCCUGAAUUCCCAGACAGCCAAUGGCUACCUCUCAGUGGCUCCAAAUGGGAAGAGUAUGAUGUUCACUGGCUUGUGGAUGAACAAAUGCCAGCGUGGUCAGAGAUUUGAUCCGGAGCCCGAGGUGCUGGGCAGUAAGGGCUUCACGUGGGGCAAAGUGUACUGGAAAGUGAAAGUGGACAGGAUCUGGUGGGAAGCAGAGGAGGAAGAAGACGCAAGGAGAUACAGGGCUGGAAGCAGAGGCGUGUUUGGCAGUAACGAUCUUGGUGGAUUUAUAAGCAUCACUGAUGGGUAUCAUUCUCCUGGAUAUAGAGAGGAGAAUGAGGAGUUGGAGGAGGAAUGGUCUCAGGAAAAUGGAAUAUGGCCAAAAUUCUGCCUGGUGGGGUGGCAAGAGAGUCAGUGGUGAAAAGGGGAUUUCUCAACUUCACCCCUGAGGAGGGGUUCUGGACUCUGCAGCUGUCCUCCGCUGUGAAGAUUGAGGGCAGAAUCCUGUCCUACUGCCCCCAGAAGAUUGGAGUUGCUCUGGAUCAUGAUGGUGGGAAGGUAACCUUUACCAGUGCCAGAACUCAAGAGUUCAUCUAUGAAUUCUCAUCUGCCUUCACUGGGAGAAUUUUCCCUUUCCUGUGGCCUAACUGCAUGAGAUCCAGACUUAUGCUGAAACCCUUAGAGAAGACCUCCUGGCACAGCCCAUGUUUUUUCAUUUACCCUUUGUUCCUUUUCAUCAGUCCCAGCUCUGCCUCAGCUGGAUGGUCCUGCUGGGUUUCUGAAUGCUCUCAGAUGACUGGAGCUUUAUGGCGGUCACGAGUCUCUUGUCCUCCCUGCUUUGUCUCUGAAAUGGGGAUCGUAAUAGUUGAUCUUUCUCUAAGGGGAAUGGUUGGAAUGUCUUUAAUGUGUUUAUUAAAAUGUGCCUUAACUAA